AUUGAACGCUGGCGGCAGGCCUAACACAUGCAAGUCGAACGGUAACAGGAAGAAGCUUGCUUCUUUGCUGACGAGUGGCGGACGGGUGAGUAAUGUCUGGGAAACUGCCUGAUGGAGGGGGAUAACUACUGGAAACGGUAGCUAAUACCGCAUAACGUCGCAAGACCAAAAAGGGGGACCUUCGGGCCUCUUGCCAUCGGAUGUGCCCAGAUGGGAUUAGCUAGUAGGUGGGGUAACGGCUCACCUAGGCGACGAUCCCUAGCUGGUCUGAGAGGAUGACCAGCCACACUGGAACUGAGACACGGUCCAGACUCCUACGGGAGGCAGCAGUGGGGAAUAUUGCACAAUGGGCGCAAGCCUGAUGCAGCUAUGCCGCGUGUAUGAAGAAGGCCUUCGGGUUGUAAAGUACUUUCAGCGGGGAGGAAGGGAGUAAAGUUAAUACCUUUGCUCAUUGACGUUACCCGCAGAAGAAGCACCGGCUAACUCCGUG
rnacentral:rRNA from 1 species